UACGGGGGGGGCAAGCGUUGUUCGGAAUUACUGGGCGUAAAGGGCUCGUAGGCGGCCAACUAAGUCGGAUGUGAAAUCCCCAGGCUCAACCUGGGAACUGCAUCCGAUACUGGAUGGCUUGAAUCCGGGAGAGGGAUGCAGAAUUCCAGGUGUAGCGGUGAAAUGCGUAGAUAUGCGGAGGAACACCGAUGGCGAAGGCAAUCCCCUGGGCCUGCACUGACGCUCAUGCACGAAAGCGUGGGGAGCAAACAGG
rnacentral:rRNA from 1 species